rnacentral:rRNA from 1 species
AGAAUUUAGCAGAGAUGCUUUAGUGCCUUCGGGAACUCUGAGACAGGUGCUGCAUGGCUGUCGUCAGCUCGUGUUGUGAAAUGUUGGGUUAAGUCCCGCAACGAGCGCAACCCUUAUCCUUUGUUGCCAGCACGUAAUGGUGGGAACUCAAAGGAGACUGCCGGUGAUAAACCGGAGGAAGGUGGGGAUGACGUCAAGUCAUCAUGGCCCUUACGAGUAGGGCUACACACGUGCUACAAUGGCGCAUACAAAGAGAAGCGACCUCGCGAGAGCAAGCGGACCUCAUAAAGUGCGUCGUAGUCCGGAUUGGAGUCUGCAACUCGACUCCAUGAAGUCGGAAUCGCUAGUAAUCGUAAAUCAGAAUGUUACGGUGAAUACGUUCCCGGGCCUCGUACACACCGCCCGUCACACCAUGGGAGUGGGUUGCAAAAGAAGUAGAUAGCUUAACCUUCGGGAGGGCGUUUACCACUUUGUGAUUCAUGACUGGGGUGAAGUCGUAACAAGGUAAGCGUAGUGCU